UACGUAGGGUGCGAGCGUUGUCCGGAAUUAUUGGGCGUAAAGGGCUCGUAGGCGGUUUGUCGCGUCGGGAGUGAAAUCCACUGGCUUAACUGGUGGCUUGCUUCGAUACGGCAGACUGGAGGUAUGCAGGGGAGAACGGAAUUCCUGGUGUAGGCGGUGAAAUGCGCGAUAUCAGGAGGAACACCGUGGCGAAGGCGGUUCUCUGGGCAUGUCCUGACGCUGGAGGAGCGAAAGUGUGGGGAGCGAACAGG
rnacentral:rRNA from 1 species